rnacentral:rRNA from 1 species
UACGUAGGGGGCAAGCGUUGUCCGGAUUCAUUGGGCGUAAAGAGCGUGUAGGCGGCCUGGAAGGUUCAGCUGUGAAAACUCGAGGCUCAACCCGUCGAGACGUCGGGUUGAAACCACCUGGCUAGAGUCCGGAAAGAGGAGUGUGGAAUUCCCGGGUGUGAGCGGUGGAAUGCGCAGAUAUCGGGAGGAACACCCGUGGCGAAGGCGGCACUCUGGGACGGUACUGACGCUGAGGAGCGGAAAGCGUGGGGGAGCAAACAGGGAU